GUAUCAGUAGCAUAGUGGUUAGUGCACUGUCUCAGAAAGGUUGAAACGCGGGUUCGAAUCCUGCCUGAGGUG
rnacentral:tRNA from 1 species